CCUACGGGGGGCGGCAGUGGGGAAUAUUGCACAAUGGGGGAAACCCUGAUGCAGCGACGCCGCGUGAGUGAAGAAGUAUUUCGGUAUGUAAAGCUCUAUCAGCAGGGAAGAAAAUGACGGUACCUGACUAAGAAGCCCCGGCUAACUACGUGCCAGCAGCCCCGGUC
rnacentral:rRNA from 1 species